rnacentral:rRNA from 1 species
UACAGGGGGUGCAAGCGUUACUCGGAAUUAUUGGGCGUAAAGAGCGUGUAGGCGGUUCGUUAAGUCUGAUGUGAAAGCCCUGGGCUCAAUCCAGGAAGUGCAUCAGAUACUGGCAAACUAGAGUGCAGGAGAGGUGAGCGGAAUUCCAGGUGUAGAGGUGAAAUUCGUAGAUAUCUGGAGGAACAACAGUGGCGAAGGCGGCUCACUGGACUGUAACUGACGCUAAGGCGCGAAAGCGUGGGGAGCAAACAGG